rnacentral:rRNA from 1 species
GUCUUUUUGAUUAAUAAUUUAAAGUCUAAUCUGCCCACUGAUAAAAAUUAAAGGGCUGCAGUAAUUUGACUGUACAAAGGUAGCAUAAUCAUUAGUCUCUUAAUUGGUGACUUGUAUGAAGGAUUUGAUGAAAUAUAAACUGUCUCUUAGUUAUUUAUUAAAAUUUAAUUUUUUAGUUAAAAAGCUAAAAUAAAUUUAAAAGACGAGAAGACCCUAUAGAGUUUUAUAAUUAAUAUAAUUAUUAUUUUAUUUGAAUUUUUAUAAAAUGAUUAUAUAAAUUAUUUUAUUGGGGUGAUAGAAAAAUUUAAUUAACUUUUUUUAAAAAUUAAACAUUUAUUUAUGAUUAUAUGAUCCAUUUUUAAUGAUUAUAAGAGAAAAUUACCUUAGGGAUAACAGCGUAAUUUUUUUUUUUAGUUCAAAUAAAAAAAAAAGUUUGCGACCUCGAUGUUGGAUUAAGAUAAAAUUUAAAUGCAAAAGUUUAAAAUUUUUGAUCUGUUCGAUCAUUAAAAU